rnacentral:misc_RNA from 1 species
UUUCCGUAGGUGAACCUGCGGAAGGAUCAUUCAUAAUAAGUGUUUAUGGCACUCUUUUAAAUCCAUAUCCACCUUGUGUGCAAUGUCAGGGUUGAUUUUUCUCUCGAGGGGAUCAGCCCCAAACAUCAACUAUAUCUCAACUCUUUGUCUGGAAAAUAUUAUGAAUAGAACAAUUCAAAAUACAACUUUCAACAACGGAUCUCUUGGCUCUC